rnacentral:rRNA from 1 species
CCUACGGGUGGCAGCAGUAGGGAAUGUUCGGCAAUGGGGGGAACCCUGACCGAGCAACGCCGCGUGAAGGAAGAAGUUAUUCGUAAUGUAAAGUUCUUUUAACAGGGAAGAAAGAGAAAUUUGACGGUACCUGAAGAAUAAGCCCCGGCUAACUAGGUGCCAGCAGCCGCGGUAAUACGUAGGGAGCGAGCGUUAUCCGGAGUUAUUGGGCGUAAAGGGUGCGUAGAUGGCAUAGUAAGUCUUUUGUAAAAAUGCUGGGCUCAACCCAGUAGGGCAAAAGAUACUGCAAAGCUAGAGUAUGCCAGAGGCAAGUGGAACUACAUGUGUAGCGGUCAAAUGCGUAGAGAUAUGUAAGAACACCAGUGGCGAAGGCGGCUUGCUGGGUCGAUACUGACAUUGAGGCACGAAAGCGUGGGGAGCAAACAGGAUUAGAUACCCGGGUAGUC